rnacentral:rRNA from 1 species
AAGUUUGAUAGGUCAGAGGUGUAAGUGCAGUAAUGCAUUCAGCCGACUGAUACUAAUAGACCGAGGGCUUGAACCU